rnacentral:rRNA from 1 species
AUUGAACGCUGGCGGCAUGCCUUACACAUGCAAGUCGAACGGUAACAGGCCGCAAGGUGCUGACGAGUGGCGAACGGGUGAGUAAUACAUCGGAACGGGCCCGAUCGUGGGGGAUAACGCAGCGAAAGCUGUGCUAAUACCGCAUACGAUCUACGGAUGAAAGCGGGGGAUCGCAAGACCUCGCGCGGACGGAGCGGCCGAUGGCAGAUUAGGUAGUUGGUGGGGUAAAGGCCUACCAAGCCGACGAUCUGUAGCUGGUCUGAGAGGACGACUAGCCACACUGGGACUGAGACACGGCCCAGACUCCUACGGGAGGCAGCAGUGGGGAAUUUUGGACAAUGGGCGCAAGCCUGAUCCAGCCAUGCCGCGUGCAGGAUGAAGGCCUUCGGGUUGUAAACUGCUUUUGUACGGAACGAAAAGGUUUCUUUUAAUACAGGGAACUGAUGACGGUACCGUAAGAAUAAGCACCGGCUAACUACGUGCCAGCAGCCGCCGUAA